rnacentral:lncRNA from 1 species
GGAGUGGGUGUGCUUUCCAAGCCGGGCACCUUCAUCAAAAUGUGAUAAUUUGGAAGGAGAAUACUCACCUCGAUGGCACUGAAAUAUCAAGCAAAGGGAUACAGAACUUUACCUCAUAUCUGAGAGAAUCCAGCAACUGUUCACAGAGAUGAUGAAGGAACUGGAACAUCUCUACUAUAUCUCUCUUCCAAGAGAGCUCAGAUUCUUCAGCCUAGAGAAGAAGAGAUACAGGGGAAUUCAUCAGUGUCUGUAUAGAAGAAAAAAAGGAAUUGUCUAUACAAACUCUGUUGCAUUCCACAAACUGAAAUUCAGAAAGAAUGUUUUGAGGAUAAGUUGUGCUGCUAAAUCCUACAUCUUCA